rnacentral:rRNA from 1 species
CCUACGGGAGGCAGCAGUGAGGAAUAUUGGUCAAUGGACGAGAGUCUGAACCAGCCAAGUAGCGUGAAGGAUGACUGCCCUAUGGGUUGUAAACUUCUUUUAUAAAGGAAUAAAACGAGGCACGUGUGCCUUUUUGCAUGUACUUUAUGAAUAAGGAUCGGCUAACUCCGUGCCAGCAGCCGCGGUAAUACGGAGGAUCCGAGCGUUAUCCGGAUUUAUUGGGUUUAAAGGGAGCGUAGAUGGGUUGUUAAGUCAGGUGUGAAAGGUUGCGGCUCAACCGUAAAAUUGCAAUUGAUACUGGCAGUCUUGAGUACAGUUGAGGUAGGCGGAAUUCGUGGUGUAGCGGUGAAAUGCUUAGAUAUCACGAAGAACCCCGAUUGCGAAGGCAGCUUACUAAACUGUGACUGACAUUGAUGCUCGAAAGUGUGGGUAUCAAACAGGAUUAGAUACCCGAGUAGUC